CCAGCCGGCCGGGCGGCCGCUGUCGCUAAUUGCCCGAAAGGGUUGCGGCAGAGGAAAGUCCGGGCUCCAUGGAAACACGAUGCCGGACAAAAUCCGGCUGGGGAAACGAGGCGUUCCCGCAAGGGAUCGGGUCGCCAACCCAAGGGAAAGCGCCACAGAAAGCAAACCACCGCGGUUUUCGCGGCAAGGGUGAAAGGGUGGGGUAAGAGCCCACCGCGCUCGCCGGUAACGGCGGCGGCACGGCAAGCCCCAUCGGGAGCAAGACCGAAUAGGGACAGCGUGGGGCAGGGAAACCUGCCCGGGUCGGUUUCCGGGCCGGCUGUCCGGGUGGGUCGCGCGAGGCGUCCGGUAACGGACGUCCCAGAGGAAUGGUCGCCGCGUCAGGGCCGGGAAACCGGCCAUGGCCAUACAGAACCCGGCUUACAGGCCGGCUGGCAUC
rnacentral:RNase_P_RNA from 1 species